GAGUGGCGAACGGGUGAGUAACAUAUCGGAACGUGCCCAGUCGUGGGGGAUAACGUAGAGAAAUUUACGCUAAUACCGCAUACGAUCUAAGGAUGAAAGCGGGGGAUCGCAAGACCUCGCGCGAUUGGAGCGGCUGAUAUCAGAUUAGGUAGUUGGUGGGGUAAAGGCCUACCAAGCCUGCGAUCUGUAGCUGGUCUGAGAGGACGACCAGCCACACUGGAACUGAGACACGGUCCAGACUCC
rnacentral:rRNA from 1 species